rnacentral:rRNA from 2 species
GCUAGUAAGACCCCUGAAAGACUAUCAGGUUGAUAGGUUGGAGGUGUAAGUACAGUAAUGUAUUCAGCUGACCAAUACUAAUAGGUCGAGGGCUUGAUCAAAUU